AUGUCGCGCGGCAGAGAUUGGGACGGCUCCAACGUCCACGGGGACCACAUCGACUUCCUCCGCAAGACGCGGCGGUUGCCCGGCAAGGAUCAUGUGCGGGUCCGUCUUGCGCCGGAGAGGGAGAUCUCGCCGGCAUCAGAGGAGGGCGAGCGGGUAAUCUUCCGCUCGCACUGCCUGCACGGCCUUGGCCUGCCUGCGAGCGGCUUCUUCCGUUCCUUCCUCGAGUUCUACCAGCUCCAGCCGCACCACCUCACUCCAAACACGGUGGUGCUGCUGUCCGCCUUCGUCACUUUGUGCGAGGGCUUCCUCGACGUCCUUCCCAACCUCGAGCUCUGGGGGGAAUUCUUCCAGUCCAAGCUCGGUACCGCCAUGAGGGGCGUGCCGGCUCAGAGCGGUGCCUUCAUCGCGAUGCGGAGGCCGGUAGCCGACAACCCUUUUCCUCCCAUCACGCUGAUCCAGUCGGUGAAGCUCUGGCAGAAAUCCUACUUCUAUGUGAAGAACGUCGCUCCGCAAGGCGACUUCGUCAACUUGCCGGCUUAUGUAGCCGGCCCGCUGACUAGGAGGCGGCCCCAAUGGUCCUAUCGGGCCAGAACACUGUCGCCUGCUGGAGCCGCCGCCGUCACGCGACUCCGGGUAUUGGUCCAGUCGGAGGGCCUGACCGGGCCUGACCUGCUGGCCGCCUUCAUGGCGCGCCGGGUGCUCCCGCUCAAAGGCCGCCCUCAUAUGAUUUGUCAAAUGAGCGGCCAACUCGAUCCGAGUCGGCUGUGUACCAAGGAGAUGCCUCAUGCAGAGGUAGCUCACAUGGUGAACUACCUUGCGAACUGCAAGCUCGCCGACGAGUGGCAGUUUGGGAAGGAGCCGUACUCCUGUGCCAAUCCCCCGCCUACGGUAAGCUUUCUUUUUCUUCUCUUCUUUAAUUUUGUCACCAAGCUUCUCUUGGCCGACUCUGACCAGUCGGUUUGUCUUGUAGAGCCCCCUCCUUCGACCUGCAGCCGGGGCAGCGGGGGUGGAGCGCCAAUAUCUCCCUGA
rnacentral:rRNA from 1 species